UUCGCUGGCUUCCCUACAAUUACUCUGUAUCCCACAUGUAACUAAACUCCUCCUCACGAUUUUCUUUCUUUCUUUCUUAAAUUUCUGUGAUCAUCAGAAGAACUGGAAAUUAAAUGGAUUCCUAUCGGUUUACUUGGCUCGACCUGUCGCGACACUGGGUCCUGUAAGGCCUUCCAUCGUGUUCAAACUAUAUGCGUACAACAUUUCACGGUUCUAUAUGAGGAUCUUUAGACUGCAGAUUUCUUAACCGGAGGGGUUUCAAUUCAAGUUAUUUCAGAUUUGAUAGACAUAUACUCCAUUCCUGUUGAAGCAAUCAAUUGGGUUUUUGACUCUUUCCCUUA